rnacentral:tRNA from 1 species
GCCUCGGUGGUCUAGCGGUCAGAACGCUGGCCUUGUAAUCCUGGGGUCUCGGGUUCGAUUCCCGGCGGUGCCC